rnacentral:misc_RNA from 1 species
GAUGAAGAACGCAGCGAAAUGCGAUAAGUAAUGCGAAUUGCAGAAUUUCCGUGAGUCAUCGAAUCUUUGAACGCACAUUGCGCCCACUGGUAUUCCGGUGGGCAUGCCUGUUCGAGCGUCAUUAUCCUCCCUCAAACCCCGGGUUUGGUGUUGGACCCAAGUUGUGUGAACAACUGGUCUCAAAGACAAUGACGGCGUCCGUGGGACCCUCGGUGCAACGAGCUUUUAGGAGCACGCAUCGAGUUGCAAGGACCUUCCGGGCCGGUCUCCUUUACCAUUUUACAAGGUUGACCUCGGAUCAGGUAGGAAUACCCGCUGAACUUAAGCAUAUCAAUAAGCGGGGA